CUGCUUAACAGUGGGUGUGAAUACCUGGCACUCAUUUACCAUGAAAGAAGAGUUGCACCGGACAACUCACGCCUUUCCCACUCUACGAAAAAGGUUCAUCUGCUAAUGUCAGUUGGCUGCAUCCACAGGCAAUAACAAAAGCCUCCAUCUCAGUCGUUGGCCACCCAGCUGGCCUCCUGAUUGGCUUCACCUCAGGAAAUUGUCCUCCUGACUUACCAGUCUUUCUGUUUGUUUGGACUUGGACUCAUUGUUCUAUUUUUUGGUUCUGUUCUACGUUCCAUCUGUGGUCUGUCCCCACAUUAUCCUGUGUGUGUAUAUUUUGUCUCAUCUUUCCCUUGCCCUUUGUCGCAUUGUCCCUCUAGGUUGCGUCGCUCUUGCCCUGUUCUCUGUGAGUUCCAGGUUCCCUUGUGUGAACCUAGUUCAUAAGUUCCUACUUCCUGCCUUGUCCAGAUUAUUUUGUAAUAUGUAUUUUGGACUUGGCUAAAUUAUAUAUGCAC
ensembl:lncRNA